rnacentral:sRNA from 2 species
CUCCGGGGGCAAGAGGUUCGACCCGAGCGAAGCGAGAGAACGUUGCGUCAGCAACGGCCCGCAGGGCGAGCCACGCAGUGGCGAGUCAUCCUCUAUCACCGGCAG